GAUCUCUGCCCUGAAACGCCUCACAUGCAACCAAUAACGUCACACACACGGGGGACUGCUGUCCGACGGCGCAUUGUUCAGAAAAUACACACCGGAGUUAUUGGAGUCCAGACUCCAUUAACAUAUUGCUCGAUUUAACAGGUCUGGGUUCCCCGUUAUACAGAUGAUACUCAUAAAUCACAACGUAUGACUUUGUAUGACUCCUAAAGAAAGACUUUUCAUUUCGGCUGAUAUUUAACGUUAACAGCUCUUUUGGGAAAUAAGUUCAAUAAACUAAAAUAUGAUGCAGCGUUGCAGCUUUACA